rnacentral:misc_RNA from 1 species
UCGUAACAAGGUUUCCGUAGGUGAACCUGCGGAAGGAUCAUUACCGAGUGAGGGCCCUCUGGGUCCAACCUCCCACCCGUGUCUAUCGUACCUUGUUGCUUCGGCGGGCCCGCCGUUUCGACGGCCGCCGGGGAGGCCUUGCGCCCCCGGGCCCGCGCCCGCCGAAGACCCCAACAUGAACGCUGUUCUGAAAGUAUGCAGUCUGAGUUGAUUAUCGUAAUCAGUUAAAACUUUCAACAACGGAUCUCUUGGUUCCGGCAUCGAUGAAGAACGCAGCGAAAUGCGAUAAGUAAUGUGAAUUGCAGAAUUCAGUGAAUCAUCGAGUCUUUGAACGCACAUUGCGCCCCCUGGUAUUCCGGGGGGCAUGCCUGUCCGAGCGUCAUUGCUGCCCUCAAGCACGGCUUGUGUGUUGGGCCCCCGUCCCCCUCUCCCGGGGGACGGGCCCGAAAGGCAGCGGCGGCACCGCGUCCGGUCCUCGAGCGUAUGGGGCUUUGUCACCUGCUCUGUAGGCCCGGCCGGCGCCAGCCGACACCCAACUUUAUUUUUCUAAGGUUGACCUCGGAUCAGGUAGGGAUACCCGCUGAACUUAAGCAUAUCAAUAAA